GUACUGUAUAGAGAGGAAGAGAGAGAGAGAGAGAGAGAGAGAGAGAGAGAGAGAGAGAGAGAGAGGGGUACUGUAUAGGGAGGUAGAGAGAGAGAGAGAGAGAGGUACUGUAUAGGGAGGUAGAGAGAGAGAGAGAGAGGUACUGUAUAGGGAGGUAGAGAGAGAGAGAGAGAGAGGUACUGUAUAGGGAGGUAGAGAGAGAGAGGUACUGUAUAGGGAGGUAGAGAGAGAGAGUUACUGUAUAGGGAGGUAGAGAGAGAGAGUUACUGUAUAGGGAGGUAGAGAGAGAGAGUUACUGUAUAGGGAGGUAGAGAGAGAGAGAGGUACUGUAUAGGGAGGUAGAGAGAGAGAAAGGUACUGUAUAGGGAGGUAGAGAGAGAGUGAAAGAGAGGUACUGUAUAGGGAGGUAGAGAGAGAGAGAGGUACUGUAUAGGGAGGUAGAGAGAGAGAGGUACUGUAUAGGGAGGUAGAGAGAGAGGUACUGUAUAGAGAGGUAGAGAGAGAGAGAUACUGUAUAGAGAGGGAGAGAGAGAGAGGUACUGUGUAGGGAGGUAGAGAGAGAGAGAGGAACUGUAAAGGGAGGUAGAGAGAGAGGAACUGUAUAGGGAGGUAGAGAGAGAGAGAGGAACUGUAUAGGGAGGUAGAGAGAGAGAGAGGAACUGUAUAGGGAGGUAGAGAGAGAGAGCGAGAGAGAGAGGUACUCUAUAGGGAGGUAGAGAGGGAGAGGUACUGUUUAGAGAGAGAGGUACUGUUUAGGGAGGUGGAAAGCGAGAGAGAGGUACUUUAUAGGGAGGUAGAGAGAGAGAGGAAGAGGUACUGUAUAAGAAGGCAGAGAAAGAGAGAGAGCGAGAGGGAGAGAAAGAGAGAGACAGAGAUGUACUAUAUAGGAAGGCAGAGAGUGAGAGAGAAGGAAAGGUACUGUAUAGAAAGGUAGAGAGAGAGAGAGGUACUGUAUAGAGAGGUAGAGAGAGAGAGAGAGAGAGAGGUACUGUAUUGGGAGGUAGAGAGUGUGUAUGUGUGUAAGGUAAGCCAACAUUUCAAGUCAGAGGUCUUCUCAGAGAGAGAUAGAGGUCUUCUCAGAGAGAGUCAGAGGUCUUCUCAGAGAGAGUCAGAGGUCUUCUCAGAGAGAGUUAGAGGUCUUCUCAGAGAGAGAUAGAGGUCUUCUCAGAGAGAGAUAGAGGUCUUCUCGGAGAGAGAUAGAGGUCGUCUCAGAGAGAGUUAGAGUUCUUCUCCUGGCUCAAGUUACAGGCCGUGGAGGAUGUCAUCAGGGCCCAGGGUCCUGGACAGUAUACUUGUCUUCUCUCAACACACACACACCCGUUCCCUCCCUGACUACUCCGGCAGCAUGCCCAGUGCUCUGUGCUCUUAUCACUGGGCUCAGGAGAUUGUUCCAGACCGGGCCGGCACCACAUGUUCC
rnacentral:lncRNA from 1 species